GUAGACCAGCAACACCAGUUAAGAUGAUCAUCAACACCAACUAAAAUGACCAGCUUGAGGUGGUACAACAAGCAAAACCAGUUGAAUCACCAUCCUAAAAUUGGGUAAACCAGCUGAAAGUAUGUUUUCGCAAGACAUUUGCUGGUCGAACUGGUCAACCAUUAUAGGGUGGUCAAACAAGCUGGUCAACCAGCAAACCA